UAGCGUAUAUUUAAGUUGUUGCGGUAAAAAAGCUCGUAGUUGGAUUUCUGUUGAAGACCGGCGGUCCACCUUUUGGGUGAGUAUCUGCUUGGGCUUCGGCAUCUUCUCGAAAAACGUUGCGGCGCUUGAUUGCGUGGUGCGGAGUUCGGGACUUUUACUUUGAGGAAAUUAGAGUGUUCACGGCAGGCAUACGCCUUGAAUAUAUUAGCAUGGAAUAAUAAUAUAGGAUCUUGGUUCUAUUUUGUUGGUUUCUAGAGCUAAGAUAAUGAUUAAUAGGGACAAUUGGGGGCAUUCGUAUUAUACCGUC
rnacentral:rRNA from 1 species